UACGAGUGCCCCGAGCGUUAUCCGGAAUUAUUGGGCGUAAAGGGUGUGUAGGUGGUAGUGUUAGUCUUCUGUUAAAUUCUUCGGCUUAACCGGGGGCAUGCAGAAGAAACGGCACAACUAGAGGAUGCGAGAGGUGAAUGGAACUCAUGGAGUAGGGGUGAAAUCCGUUGAUAUCAUGGGGAACACCAAAUGCGAAGGCAAUUCACUGGCGCACUCCUGACACUGAGACACGAAAGCGUAGGUAGCGAAUGGG
rnacentral:rRNA from 1 species